UUUUGUAUUUUACUUAGGAUUAAUUAUGCUAACGUAUAAGAAGCCAAAUAUUAUACAUGGCAAAGAACACUUAAUAAGUUUUAUAUAAAGAAAUGCCUACUUACAAUAUAGUAUGCAUAUUUUGUGAGUUUUAAGUAAAAAAAUAUAUCUCAACCUUCUUAUUGAAUUAAACGACUACCUCCCCAAUUUAUAAUGAAUGUGCAUGUACAAAAGAAAAUACAAAAAAAAAAAAAUUUAGAGAGGGUGCACUACACCAAAUACCCAUUUCCAUAACACAUGAAUAUAAUACUAAUAAAAAUGUGUUAUGCUAGAGUAUUAUAUUGGGCAUGAAAAAAGGGCGGUAAUAUACACCAUCCCGCCACUUAGCCUUUUUUUUUCAUUCCUGAGAACUGAAAAUUUGUGAGACCCGCCCCUUAGCCUUUUUUUUUCAUUCCUGAGACCAGAAAAUUUGUGAGACCCGAGAGACCCUUCGGCCAAAUCCUAAUUUCGUUUUGCUUCUCCCGGUCGUCGAGCCUGAUCGACUCGACUCUUUUCCCUGCCCCCCGGCCUCUCACUUCGUUUCGUUCUUCUUCUGUAUCGUCGCUUGAAUGAAGACACCCGAUCGACCCGACUUUCCCAAAUGUCCACCACCGGCCCUUCUCCUUUCCAAUUCCAUUGCCAACUUGUACCGGUCUCAUUGGCACUACCAUUAUUCCAUAAUCCGAUUCCCUCUCACUACUACUACUACUACUCCCACUUCCACUACCUCCCCUUUUGCCUCUUCCUCUUCUCCCCAAAUGCCUAUUUAAUCCCAACAUGUGAAUUCCCAAGAAGCCCGUUUCAUUUUGCUUCUCUUUGUUUUCACCUGACGUUUUUCCUCCCACUUUUUCUUCCCGUAUUCGACUCAUUUCCGGAACUUUCACUCUAUCGGAUUCUUUUCCAGGAAAGAGAAAAGGGAUUUGUUUCGGAGGUGUUUCUUGGAGCCUAGCUUGGAAGAUUGUUAGAGUUGGAACUUAACGUGGUGCCCAGGUGUAUUUUUGGAGUCUUCCUAGCUGUGCUGGAAAUCAGCUGAGAAAUGUAACUCGCAAACUUGAAUCUGAUCUUCAUAGCAGUAAGAAGCAGUUUGCAGAACUUGCUGAGCAGUGUGAAUCGUUAAAGAAGGGGCGAGAGGCAUCUAUGAGCAUCCUUAAAGACCCUAUAUGUCUUACCAGGGUUUGAACUAGUUUAUAGAAAUGAACUCUUAGGUUAUUAUUUGUCUGACAUGUUAGCAUUUUCCAGGAUGAAAGAGAGGAGGCUUUAAAUGAGUUGAAAUCCAUUCAGCAAAAGCAUACUGAGCUGAAGGAAGAAAUGGAACAAUAUGCGGACAAUGAUCCAGCUGCCUUUGAAGCAAUGAGAAGUGCAAUUGAAGUUGCUCAUUCAACAGCUAACAGAUGGACAGUUGGAUCUUUGCCAGAAAAUGGGCGAACUUCUUGCAAGGACCACAGUUAAAUAUAUUAUGUGGCUGUAAUAAUGGCUGGAAAUGCUCUAUUGUUGGCUUUUUAUUCAAUAAUGCUUUGGUGGAGAACACAAUGGCAAAGCUCAAGGACGUAUUUCAUUGAAAUUUAUUUAUAUUUCUCUAUGUGACAACCUUACUAUUUCAACAUCAUUAAUAAAGGCUAAGACUUUUUUUUAAAAAAAAAGUAUCUAACCAUUAGUUUAUUGUCCUGUGCCUAGAAAUAAGUUGGUCUUAAUCAUUUGACUUCAUAAUUAUAGUUUGUAGGCAUUUAUAUUUGGUUCUUCUAUUUUGCUUGCUAUUAACAAUGCUUUCUUGAAAUUUUGGUUUGUUAUAACAAUAAGUAUCCCAAUUGUGCAAGCAUGAAUGUCAAUGUGUUCAUGUAACUUUGAGGGGUGUAAAGAAAUAUAAGAAGUUUUCAGAUGUGAGGGGUUGCAGUUAGCCUUAGCAUAUAUGCUAUGAUGCAUUCCAAUUUUCUUACUUAAUUUAUUUCUGCACAUACCUUUUUUCUCUUGAUUUCCUUAUUGUAAACUUACCUACCCCCCUCUCUUUCCCUACUUCCUUUGGGGUUUGAAAAAGCUAUCUUAAAAAUCAUCUUUUAAUUGUUAUGAUGUGUUUUAAUCUUUUCGUUUACAGAAUUACUGAGCUUGUGUUUUUUCUUUUUUGUUUCUUGUUGUUUCCAGUUUUAUGGUGCAACAACAUUUUUCAUUCAUAGAUCAGACUUUAGUGUCUCCUUGGUUAUGCUUUAUAUGAAGCUAAGAGCUUAAUGGCUCUUUAUUUGGAAAUAAAUUUUAGUACUUGAAAUUUUUGUUAGUACUUUCUUUAAAAUUACUAAAGAGAUGUCAAAUGAAAAUAUGAAAUGAAUAGUGUGGCACUAGAAUAUUGAAGUGCUAGAGUGGUAGUGAACAACUAGCAGAACAUGUUUAACUAAUUGCUCUGUACUUGUUUUCAAUAUGCUAUUGGGGUUGCUUUUCUGUGAAAAUACAUUAAGAUAUGUGGGAUUGUGGCCUCUGUUUCAAUGUGCAACAUAAAGCUUCCUGAUUUGAUUUUGAUUAUAGCUUUAUAGAACUAGUAGUAGCCAUUUUCAUGGCUCAUAUUCUGAAGGAUAUUUUUUAAGAGCUUAGCUAGUACCAUGUUUGUUAUUAAAUUGUUGGUGGUUUCUAAAAUCAUGGAAGUAGUGUGUUCGAAAGUUUCAAACUUUGGAUUCUUUUGGCUUUUAUUGAUUGUUGCUUUUACUAGUAGGCAGAAAGAACAUUUUUAAAGAGAGACUGCCCCAGUCUGAUGCAUCCACAAGCAGUUGUUACUGAUUCUGAUCUUCAUCUUGAAUUUCUGGCUGUUCAGAUCUCUAACUAAUGGUGUUGGUUCCAUUCCAAAUUAUUUACAUUUUUUCCUUUACAUUUGUAUUCGACAUGAAUUGCAAAUUGCUUAUGGAAAGCAGAUUGUGGUUCAUUUUUUUUCUUCUUCCAAAAUCAUUUCUAUAUAGUGUGUACAAUAAAAUAAUAGUUAAGAUAAUUCCCUGGAUUGGAAGAAUAGCUGACAAAUGAAAGUACAUUUAAACUAAUUUGGAAUGUGUUCUGUAUAGAAAAUGUAUUGUUACAUUGGCUUUUGUAUUCAAGCCUUUAUCUUUCAUUCUUCAUUGCUGGCUGGCAAAAACAUGAAAAAAGAAGAAAGCUGCUAUGCUUGAGUACUUUGACAUCAUCUUUGAUUUGCAUCCAUAUGAAUGCAAAUAAUCUCCAUAUUGUUUUCUUGUGUAAAAUUAUUCCUCACAGUCUCAUUUAUUGGACCAAGUGUAUUUUACUGUUCAGAACAUAUAUAUUUCACAUGGAAAAAGUAAACUAUUUCUUACUUUUGAACUUGGGAGUGGUACAAAAAUACACACAUAUGUUUAGACAGUUCAGAACAUAUAUAUUUCACACAAAAAUAGAUAAUAUGAUUUUAGAUUACUACUCCAGACCUCUUUGAUUUGAUUAAGUCUUUCUCAUUAAUAUUGCAUUCCAAAUCCUUAAACUUGUUCUUGGAUAGUGAAUUACAAGAGGUAUAUAUACACAUAAAGAGGCUGAUAAUAGUGAAUCAUUCUCUUCUGCUGUUGCUGCUUCUUAUGUACUGCUUUUUAUGCUACUUUUUUUUUCUUUUUUUUUUUACAAGUAUAUUUGUAGCUACUUAUUAUUAGAAGCAAAAUUUGUCUUUGUAUCCAUUAAUAUGUAAAACAAAAGGGUAUUUCUCUUUUCUCCAGCACUUAGUGUAAGUACAAGUAUUUUUAGUCAUGAUAUAUUCUUUCUUCACUUUAAUACAGUGCAUUUGUCACAAAUUGAAGCAGGGCAGGUGCAAAAACAGUACAUUGCAAGAGUUAUUGGGGCAUUUCCCGAGCAUGAGUUGUAGAUGCCAAUAUAAAUUAUAAUGCCCGGGAAGGAAAGAGCACAGCAGAGGUGCUCAACUCCUCUGGUGGCACUUCAGUAAAAGGGAAGGUUGCUUGUACCAAGUUCAGUAGAAUUAGUACCAUAAUGUGUUCCUCUAUAUAUGCAGAUUUAUAUAAUUAAAGUCGUAUGUAUUGAAGCUGUUAACAUUAUAUAUAUAUAUAUACAUUUUUUGGAGUAAAGCAUUUGAUUAUUGUACCCUUCCUAAGACUAUUUCAUGGUUUGGAAAACUAUCUAUGGCUCUAAGGUUUUUUUUCUUAAAAAAAUAGAUGUUAAAGGAGAUAGCUUCUGACUAGACAAUCUCUAGAAAAAGGUUGAGAUAUGACUUUACUUGUCCAUUCAGGCCAUUUUUGCCAAGUACUUCUGAUUUCUAUUUUCCAUGGUUGGACUAUGUGCUCUUUCUUCUGCAUUGCUCAUAUUUUGAUGCUUCUCUGAAUUUUCAUAAUGUGUUUUCUAACCAGGAAGGCAAUGUUGCCAACCAGAGGGAACAUCUAAUUCUUCUCCUUGCCAAUAUUCACAUUCAGAAAGCUAAUAAGCAGUCUGUCUUGAAGAGUUAUACAUAGUAUAUCCCUUUGCCAAUCAGUGACCUUGAUUCUUGGUUGAAGACACCCUCCAUAUAUGUUUUUGAUUGCUCUACAGCUGGGGGAAUAUUGUGAAUGCUUUUAUUGAGCUUCAUGAUUGGGUUGCUUCUAGCUCCUCUGGAUCCACAAGGGAUUGCAUUCUACUUGGAGGUUGUGAAGCACAUGAGACUCUUCCACAAAGUGCUGAAUUUCUUGCAGAUGUGUUUACGUCUUGUCUCUCAACACCUAUUAAGAUGGCUUUGAGAUGGAUCUUGCAGGCAAAGGACACCAAGUGAAUUAGAUAGAGAGGUUAAGAACUUGAGGGUGGCAUUUACUGACCUGUUUUUGAAGCAUAACACUUUCAAAGAAACUGCAAAGCCA